CUAUCUCUUCCGUUGCCAACUUCUUCUUAACUAUGAACUUGGAGGCUUUCUAAACUUAAUAGCAGCACAAAGUCUGACCACUACUGACUACUCAACAACACUCAUCGCAAACUUUACCACGGCAGACUCACACAGGGAUAUGUGUGCAAGUGUUGCGAUGAAUAUUGGACCACUCAACACAACAAAUUCAUCUUUCCUUUAUAUUGGCUCCAUGGCGUCUCUCAGGAUAACUCUCAAUCCUUCAAGAGGCUAUUACGAAAACCUAGUAAUUUUCGUGAAAACCCCUGGCGAAAAUAUCAAUUGACGUUGCAUUGUCUGAUUUUCGUCAUGUAGGCAAUAUGGAGUACGAAGUCCGUUAUGCUUUCUCGCCUCGAUAUGAUAGUACAGCAUUCCAAAGGCAAAAAGGGUGUGGUUAUAAGCUGAUCAGAACAUUUGUGUACUAUUCCAAUUAUUCUGAAAAUCAGCUUAUUUGUGAUUUUUUUGUAUAUCUGCAUAACGCAAAAUCCUUACAAGACAAACAGAAUGUAAGCACGAAUGCGGAGAUUUCGUACACACAGAAUGGCAUU